UGGUAUACUGUAAGUCAAGUAAAGGAAUAAUGGAAGUUCAAUUGAAUGGUGCAUCAGAAAAGGCACUUGUUUGCUUUAGAAUGCCAUUCAAUUCGUUUGUAGCAGUGCAUGGUGACAAUAUCUAUUAUACAAAUGUAGAAAACAAUUCUGUUACAUGCUACAAUAUCCAUGGAAAUCUAAAAUGGGAAUUUAAGGAUACACAAAACCUGCAAUAUCCACAGGGUAUAUCUGUAGACAACAAUGGAAACGUGUAUGUUGUCAGUAGGGAAACAAACAGCGUUGUCAUCAUUACCUCAGAUGGAAAGCGUUGCAGAACAAUAUUGUCCUCUCGUGAUGGCCUUAAUAUUCCGCGUGCAUUGCAUUUCGAACCAACAAGUAACAAGUUGUUAGUUUCCAAUGAAAAGAAGACCGCAUUUCUAUUUGAUGUUUCCUAAAACAACUACUUUAAC
rnacentral:lncRNA from 1 species